CUGUGCAUGAUACCCGUACGUCGUAUCUAGGUAUCCGUAGAGUUUUUUCUUGUUUUCUGGCGGACGGGUGAGUAACACGUGGGAACGUGCCUUUAGGUUCGGAAUAGCUCCUGGAAACGGGUGGUAAUGCCGAAUGUGCCCUUCGGGGGAAAGAUUUAUCGCCUUUAGAGCGGCCCGCGUCUGAUUAGCUAGUUGGUGAGGUAACGGCUCACCAAGGCGACGAUCAGUAGCUGGUCUGAGAGGAUGACCAGCCACACUGGGACUGAGACACGGCCCAGACUCCUACGGGAGGCAGCAGUGGGGAAUCUUGCGCAAUGGGCGAAAGCCUGACGCAGCCAUGCCGCGUGAAUGAUGAAGGUCUUAGGAUUGUAGAGUUCUGUCACCGGGGACGAUAAUGACGGUACCCGGAGAAGAAGCCCCGGCUAACUUCGUGCCAGCAGCCGCGGUAAUACGAAGGGGGCUAGCGUUGCUCGGAAUUACUGGGCGUAAAGGGCGCGUAGCAAUCGUUAAUCAGAGGUGAAAUCCCAGGGGCUCAACCCUGGAACUGCCUUUGAUAC
rnacentral:rRNA from 1 species